CCUACGGGAGGCAGCAGUGAGGAAUAUUGGACAAUGGUCGGAAGACUGAUCCAGCCAUGCCGCGUGCAGGAUGACGGCCUUAUGGGUUGUAAACUGCUUUUGUAAGGGAAGAAUAAGGACUACGUGUAGUUUGAUGACGGUACCUUAUGAAUAAGCAUCGGCUAACUCCGUGCCAGCAGCCGCGGUAAU
rnacentral:rRNA from 1 species